rnacentral:misc_RNA from 1 species
AGUGUGGCGCUGACUAUCGUAGAGGGUGGAUGUAUCGUCAGCUAAUAUAUUGUAUGGCGGGAACGUAAAAAAUUUCCGAACUUUUUUUUAUUCGGUCGUAAAUGUUUUUCUAUUGACGAUAUAAAAUGUGAAAACUUUAAUAUUGUGACUUUGGAAGUGGUUUCUAGUUAAUUUUUAUUAUUAUAGAGAGCAUUGAAAAUGAAUUUCAUUUGGUUGCUCAUCAUCGCGACGCUGUGCAACGCAGUUGCCGCAGUAAAUAUCAUCUACGCCCCGUCUCAUAAACUCGAAGAACAUGACUUCCUCUACCGACAGUUUUACAGG